GAGCGUUCUUCCAUGCGAGCAGUGAAAAGGAAAAGCAGAAGCAGCAAAAGGUGCAGGUGGAAGAAAGAUAGGUAGCAGUUUCAGCGAUGGCGAUAGUGGCGCCGUUAUCGGCAGUAGUGGAAACGACGGUAUAAUGUUAGUGAAAGAGAAAGCUGAAACUGGCCUCGAACGUGUGCAGAAGAGAGGUGACGGCGUGUGCUAGUCGUUUGCAGGAUACCGACACGGCGUGUGUGCCGACGGUGGUGAACGCGCCCGGACAUCGAUACAGCUCUACCGCCACUCUGCCCCUGAUCCACUCUGACCCUCUCCGAUCCCCAGCACCCUCUUGCACACGCACAGCUAGUCUCUCCUAUACUUGUUCCCGUGCCAUUAACUUCAGCAACGGAACAAACCUUCUGUCUUCCUCUCCCUCUACUUCGUCCUUACUCCCUUACCUUCCUCUCAGUCCUAGCUAUCUCUGUCGUACACAUGAACUCGAUCGCGCGCGUGCCGAGCAACCGUUCGUUCAGCUUCCUUCUCUCUUCCAUUUUGACCACUCUGACCACUCUGUCGCUUUAUCGCCACAGGCAACUACGUGCUCAAGCUUCUUCAAAGAAUAGACGAGUGACUACAUUAUUAUCUUAUAAUUCUUAUUAACAACGUAGAUUGAUCAUGCUCCUUGGUUCGUCACACGGCCGCCUGAUCUUCGCACGACCGACUAUCCGGCGAGUUAGUCUUCAACAACUUGUAUGCGAUGAAGAGCGAAUAGAGAAUAGACAAUCCUGAACAAUGAACCGUGUUAGAUGAAUGAACCUUAAAACGCAGAGCAGUGCUAUCUAACCCAAAAUAUGUUCAAACGCAGAAUUACUGCUAUUUAGUAGGUAUAAAUGUGAAACACAUUCUUGAACAUCAGAAAAUAUAACUUGCAUGAUAAACCUCGUUAAAAGAUUUGUGUGCACAAUAUGUUAUCAUCCAUCGAUUAAUAUCCCGACGAGUUACGAUAAAAUUAAUCUUAUGGUUAUUUCAUGUAAAACGUAUGGAGAAACGAUCGUUAUCGCAAAA